rnacentral:lncRNA from 1 species
GAUGCUUGGGGUGUGACCAACAUCAACCAUGUGAGAGGUUUAUAUCUCACCACCUAGGAUGCUUGGGGUGUGACCAACAUCAACCAUGUGAGGGGUUUAUACCUUGCCACCAGGGUGUCCGGGUGUGAACGGCAUCCCCCAUCCUAAGUUGGGGUUAUAGAUUGGUUGGAUCAUGCAUACACAUAUGAUAUCUACUAUUAGUAUAGAGUUACUUAAACAUGUUUUGACUUCACUUUGAUCAUGCAUCCUCAUAUUGUUAUUCAUAAUGCCUAUGAAACUAUUUCUUGUAUUUCGAUUGUGUCCUUGUCUAUUGUUGUGUUGCACCCCGCAUACUUAGUACAUUCCAAGUACUAACACAUAUUUUGCCUACAUGAUGUCACCAUGUAGGGACCGGAGCUACUCUUGAUCCUUCUCUUCGUUCACGUGGCUAGUACGGUGCUUAUCCGAGUUGUUGGUGAGUCCUCAAUGAUUCGAGGGCUAUGUUAUGUUUCCUACUCCUAUGUUUUGAGACUUUAGCUUGUAAUUGUAUUUUGACUAUGAGGGGAGCCGGUAGAAUGUCAUGGCCCCGUCCUAUCUCUGUAUGUAGAGGUGUGCGUUGGACAAGUAUUUUGUAAAUGAUCUUGACUCUUGUUCUAUGAUGUCAUUUUGAAAUGGUUUGCCCUUAGUCCCUAUUUCCCGUUAAUUAAUGUUGAAUGUACUUCCGCG